CCCAACUAUCCCUAUUAAUCAUUACGUCAAUCCUAGAAACCAACAAAAUAGAAUUAAACGUCCUAUUUCAUUAUUCCAUGCUAAUGUAUUCAAGCGCGAGCCUGCUUUAAACACUCUAAUUUUUUCAAAGUAACAGUCCUGAUUCCCCAUGACACCAAAUUAAUGACAUCAUGGUUCUUCAGAAGGGAGAAAUCAAUAAUGUCAGUACGUACCAAGGCACGACCAACAAUUUGAUCUCGAAAUUCAACUACGAGCUUUUUAACUGCAACAACUUUAAUAUACGCUAUUGGAGCUGGAAUUACCGCGGCUGCUGGCACCAGACUUGCCCUCCAA
rnacentral:misc_RNA from 1 species